UACGGAGGGUGCAAGCGUUAAUCGGAAUUACUGGGCGUAAAGCGGGUGUAGGCGGACUAGACAGUCGGAUGUGAAAGUCCAGGGCUCAACCCUGGAAGUGCAUCCGAUACUACUAGUCUUGAAUACUGGAGAGGGAAGUGGAAUUCCUGGUGUAGCGGUGAAAUGCGUAGAUAUCAGGAGGAACAUCAGUGGCGAAGGCGACUUACUGGACCAAUACUGACACUGAGGUACGAAAGCGUGGGUAGCAAACAGG
rnacentral:rRNA from 1 species